rnacentral:rRNA from 1 species
UACGGGGGGGGCAAGCGUUGUUCGGAAUUACUGGGCGUAAAGGGCUCGUAGGUGGCCAACUAAGUCAGACGUGAAAUCCCUCGGCUUAACCGGGGAACUGCGUCUGAUACUGGAUGGCUUGAGUUUGGGAGAGGGAUGCGGAAUUCCAGGUGUAGCGGUGAAAUGCGUAGAUAUCUGGAGGAACACCGGUGGCGAAGGCGGCAUCCUGGACCAAUACUGACACUGAGGAGCGAAAGCCAGGGAGCAAACGG